rnacentral:rRNA from 1 species
AUGCAAGUCGAACGAUAAGGUCUCUUCGGAGAUACAUAAGUGGCGGACGGGUGAGUAAAAUGUAGAGAAUCUGCCCUAGAGUGGGGGACAACAGAGGGAAACUUCUGCUAAUACCCCAUAUGCGCGUAGCUGAGAUGCUAUUCGUGAAAACUCCGGUGCUCUGGGAUGAGUCUGCAUCUGAUUAGCUAGUAGGCGGUGUAAUGGACCACCUAGGCGACGAUCAGUAGCUGGUUUGAGAGGAUGAUCAGCCACAAUGGGACUGAGACACGGCCCAUACUCCUACGGGAGGCAGCAGUAGGGAAUUUUGCGCAAUGGGGGAAACCCUGACGCAGCAACGCCGCGUGACCGAUGAAGCCCUUCGGGGUGUAAAGGUCUGUCAGUGGGGACGAAACUUGACGGUACCCACAGAGGAAGCAUCGGCUAACUCCGUGCCAGCCGCAGC